rnacentral:rRNA from 1 species
UACAGAGGGUGCAAGCGUUAAUCGGAUUUACUGGGCGUAAAGGGUGUGUAGGUGGUUUGACAAGUCGGUUGUGAAAUCCCUGGGCUCAACCUGGGAACUGCUUCCGAGACUGUCAGACUAGAGUACGGUAGAGGGCGGUGGAAUUUCCGGUGUAGCGGUGAAAUGCGUAGAUAUCUGAAGGAACAUCAGUGGCGAAAGCGACUUCCUGGACCAAUACUGACGCUCAUGUGCGAAAGCGUGGGGAGCAAACAGG